rnacentral:lncRNA from 1 species
CCAUCCCCCAGCCAUCCUGCCAGCUGAUUACAGAGGAACAAAUGAGCUCAAAGAAAAUAGAGCCUGGUGUGGAUUAUCAGAACCUUCUAGUUGAUACGAAUAAUUGGAAAUACAUAGGACAUGGAAAACUGACUUUACUUCUUCACAUAUUGCAAGCCCAGCUACAUUUGGUAAGAACUCUUGAAAAGAUGGAACACAAUAAAUUGCAGAAAAACAAAAUAAAAAACAAAAAACAACAACAAAAAAGGAGGAGGAAGAGGAGAGCAAACUGGAAGAGGAGAAGGCUGAGGAAGAGGAAGGAAGAAGGGGUAAAGAAAUAGGCCUAAAGAACCAAGAGGAUUGGUAUUUUGAAAGUUCUGUGAAAUUAAGUGUGAAUUUUAGGGGAAAAAGAAUAUGCUUAUGUGAGUAAACUCUCUUAGUAAACUUGGCCCAGGUUUUAAAACUUUGUAAUAAAUACACUGCAGAAAAUGCCUUCA